GAUGAACGCUAGCGAUAGGCUUAACACAUGCAAGUCGAGGGGUAACGUGUUGGAAGCUUGCUUCCGAUGACGCCGACCGGCGGAUGGGUGCGUAACGCGUAUGCAACUUGCCUCACAGUGGAGAAUAACCCGGAGAAAUCCGGACUAAUACUCCAUACACUCUUAAGUACGCCUGUACAUGAGAGGAAAGAUUUAUCGCUGUGAGAUAGGCAUGCGUCCUAUUAGGUAGUUGGUGAGGUAACGGCUCACCAAGCCGACGAUAGGUAGGGGUGCUGAGAGGCAGAUCCCCCACAUUGGGACUGAGACACGGCCCAAACUCCUACGGGAGGCAGCAGUGAGGAAUAUUGGUCAAUGGAGGAAACUCUGAACCAGCCAAGUCGCGUGAAGGAAGAAUGUCCUAAGGAUUGUAAACUUCUUUAGCGAGCGAGUAAGGACUUCCACGUGAUGGGAGUUUGAAAGUAGCUCGAGAAUAAGUAUCGGCUAACUCCGU
rnacentral:rRNA from 1 species